GUGGNAAUUGAAGAGAUGAAUUUUCAUUCUUGCUUGNUGAUGCACGGUCCAGACAUUGCCUUUUCAUUUUUUUUGGGUUGAUUUAAAUUUCAGAAAUUAAAUAGAAGAANUGUAGUACGGUGCAACAUAUUGUCUUAACUGAAUUCUGGAAGAAUUGNUCACGCGGAGCACAUUUUCAAUUGCUUUCAUUUUACAAAAGGGUGAAUGAAGUCACGGCUGGAAGGAGGAUUUGGAGGUCACGGUCCAGGACAUUUUAAAAGUCAUUUUACUAUUAGAUUUGNUUUUAAGAAAAGAGAAUGAUNGUUUUCAAUUUGGAAGCAUGAGUCACGGCCAAGAAGGGUUUUAGGCCAUUUCCAAUUUCAAUUUGUUUGGUAGAUGCAAAUGUGGUCACGUNAGUAGUUAGAUAAAUUUGUCUUUUUAUUUUCUUGUGCUUUAAUUUAAUUUCACAUAGUUUGUUGAGUUGGGUUUCAUGUUUUUAAUUUAGUGAUGCAUAUUAAUAAUUUUAACUGUGCUAGAUAUUUGUUUGCUUUAGUAUUGGGUUUAGUAUUUUCACUCUCUGGACUCGAUUUUAAAAAAAUACCUGCAACCACACCAGAGGUCCAAAUGCUGCGUUUUAUAUAUCACAUGAAAGAUAAUUGAGUCUACUUUCCAGGAAAAAAAACCUCAUCUCAUUUAGAGCUCUAUAGAAAAAGUUAUGGGUAAAACAUUGAGCAAAGGUCAGAGUUGUCCAGUUCCAGCGUGAAUUUUCAUAUUUACUGUAGCAGUUUCGUUUUUACUGUUUUAAUUUCAUUUUAAAUUCUCUGCAUUCACCAUGCAAACCUUUCACAACCCCCCC
rnacentral:lncRNA from 1 species